rnacentral:rRNA from 1 species
CCUACGGGUGGCAGCAGUGGGGAAUAUUGCACAAUGGGGGAAACCCUGAUGCAGCGAAGCCGCGUGAGUGAAGAAGUAUUUCGGUAUGUAAAGCUCUGUCAGCAGGGGAGAAAAUGACGGUACGUGACCCAGAAGCACCGGCUAACUAGGUGCCAGCAGCCGCGGUAAUACGUAGGGAGCAAGCGUUAUCCGGAUUUACUGGGGGUUAUGGGAGCGUAGGCGGCAGGGCAAGUCUGGAGUGAAAGGCGCGGGCUCAAACCCCGGACUGCUCUGGAAACUGCCGGGCUGGAGUGCAGGAGAGGUAAGUGGAAUGCGUAGUGUAGCGGGGAAAUGCGUAGAUAUUAGGAAGAACACCAGUGGCGAAGGCGGCUUACUGGA